rnacentral:rRNA from 1 species
ACGAAAGUCUGACCGAGCGACGCCGUGUGCGGGAUGAAGGCCUUCGGGUUGUAAACCGCUGUCGUAGAGGAGGAAAUUGACCGGGGUUCUCCCCGGGUUAUUGACCUAUUCUAGGAGGAAGGACGGGCUAAGUUCGUGCCAGCAGCCGCGGUAAUACGAACCGUCCAAACGUUAUUCGGAAUCACUGGGCUUAAAGGGUACGUAGGCGGCGCUGUUAGUCGGGUGUGAAAUCCCUCGGCUCAACCGAGGAAUUGCGUCCGAUACUGCAGUGCUUGAGGGAGACAGAGGUAAGCGGAACUGAUGGUGGAGCGGUGAAAUGCGUUGAUAUCAUCAGGAACACCGGUGGCGAAAGCGGCUUACUGGGUCUCUUCUGACGCUGAGGUACGAAAGCUAGGGGAGCGAAGGGGAUUAGAUACCCCCGUAGUCCUAGCCGUAAACUCUGAGCACUUGAUCGUGGGCCCCCCCAUAGGCUCUCGGUCGUAGCGAAAGUGUUAAGUGCUCCGCCUGGGGAGUAUGGUCGCAAGGCUG